CAACCAAAACUCUUUUUGUAUACCCCCUCGCGGGUUUUUUAUAAUCUGAGCCUUCUCGGCGCCUCUCGUAGGCGUUUCGAAAAUGAAUCAAAACUUUCAACAACGGAUCUCUUGGUUCUGGCAUCGAUGAAGAACGCAGCGAAAUGCGAUAAGUAAUGUGAAUUGCAGAAUUCAGUGAAUCAUCGAAUCUUUGAACGCACAUUGCGCCCGCCAGUAUUCUGGCGGGCAUGCCUGUCCGAGCGUCAUUUCAACCCUCGAACCCCUCCGGGGGGUCGGCGUUGGGGAUCGGCCCUCCCUUAGCGGGUGGCCGUCUCCGAAAUACAGUGGCGGUCUCGCCGCAGCCUCUCCUGCGCAGUAGUUUGCACACUCGCAUCGGGAGCGCGGCGCGUCCACAGCCGUUAAACACCCAACUUCUGAAAUGUUGACCUCGGAUCAGGUAGGAAUACCCGCUGAACUUAAGCAUAUCAAUAAGCGGAGGGAAAAAAACCAACCAAUG
rnacentral:rRNA from 1 species